AGUCGAGCGGUUGAGGGGAGCUUGCUUCCCGAUUCAGCGGCGGACGGGUGAGUAAUGCCUAGGAAUCUGCCUGGUAGUGGGGGACAACGUUUCGAAAGGAACGCUAAUACCGCAUACGUCCUACGGGAGAAAGCAGGGGACCUUCGGGCCUUGCGCUAUCAGAUGAGCCUAGGUCGGAUUAGCUAGUUGGUGGGGUAAAGGCUCACCAAGGCGACGAUCCGUAACUGGUCUGAGAGGAUGAUCAGUCACACUGGAACUGAGACACGGUCCAGACUCCUACGGGAGGCAGCAGUGGGGAAUAUUGGACAAUGGGCGAAAGCCUGAUCCAGCCAUGCCGCGUGUGUGAAGAAGGUCUUCGGAUUGUAAAGCACUUUAAGUUGGGAGGAAGGGCAUUAACCUAAUACGUUGGUGUUUUGACGUUACCGACAGAAUAAGCACCGGCUAACUCUGUGCCAGCAGCCGCGGUAAUACAGAGGGUGCAAGCGUUAAUCGGAAUUACUGGGCGUAAAGCGCGCGUAGGUGGUUUGUUAAGUUGAAUGUGAAAUCCCCGGGCUCAACCUGGGAACUGCAUCCAAAACUGGCAAGCUAGAGUAGGGU
rnacentral:rRNA from 1 species